AUUGAACGCUGGCGGCAGGCCUAACACAUGCAAGUCGAGCGGAUGAAGGUAGCUUGCUCCUGGAUUCAGCGGCGGACGGGUGAGUAAUGCCUAGGAAUCUGCCUGGUAGUGGGGGAUAACGUCCGGAAACGGGCGCUAAUACCGCAUACGUCCUGAGGGAGAUAGUGGGGGAUCUUCGGACCUCUUGCUCUCAGAUGAGCCUAGGCCGGAUUAGCUAGUUGGUGGGGUAAAGGCCUACCAAGGCGGCGAUCCGCAACUGGUCGGAGAGGAUGAUCAGUCACACUGGAACUGAGACACGGUCCAGACUCCUACGGAAGGCAGCAGUGGGGAAUAUUGGACAAUGGGCGAAAGCCUGAUCCAGCCAUGCCGCGUGUGUGCAGAAGGUCUUCGGAUUGUAAAGCACUUUAAGUUGGGAGGAAGGGCAGUAAGUUAAGACCUUGCUGUUUUGACGUUACCAGCAGAAUAAGCACCGGCUAACUUCGUG
rnacentral:rRNA from 1 species